GACGAACGCUGGCGGCGUGCUUAACACAUGCUAGUCGAACGGAAAGGCCCUGCUUUUGUGGGGUGCUCGAGUGGCGAACGGGUGAGUAACACGUGAGUAACCUGCCCUUGACUUUGGGAUAACUUCAGGAAACUGGGGCUAAUACCGGAUAGGAGCUCCUGCUGCAUGGUGGGGGUUGGAAAGUUUCGGCGGUUGGGGAUGGACUCGCGGCUUAUCAGCUUGUUGGUGGGGUAGUGGCUUACCAAGGCUUUGACGGGUAGCCGGCAUGAGAGGGUGACCGGCCACAUUGGGACUGAGGAACGCACCAGACUCCAACGGGAGGCAGCAGUGGGGAAUAGUGCACAAUGGGCGGACGCCUGAUGUAGCAACGUCGCGUGCGGGAUGACGGCCUUCGGGUGGUAAACCGCCUUCGCCUGUGACGAAGCGUGAGUGACGGUAAUGGGUAAAGAAGCACCGGCUAACUACGUG
rnacentral:rRNA from 1 species